rnacentral:rRNA from 1 species
CAAUAGCGUAUAUUAAAGUUGUUGCGGUUAAAAAGCUCGUAGUUGGAUUUCUGCUGAGGACGAUCGGUCCGCCCACUGGGUGAGUAUCUGGCUCGGCCUUGGCAUCUUCUUGGAGAACGUUGCUGCACUUGACUGUGUGGUGCGGUAUCCAGGACUUUUACUUUGAGGAAAUUAGAGUGUUCAAAGCAGGCGUUUUGCUUGAAUAUAUUAGCAUGGAAUAAUGGAAUAGGACGCUGGUUCUAUUUUGUUGGUUUUGAGAACCAGAGUAAUGAUUAAUAGGGACAGUGGGGGCAUUCAUAUUCCAUUGUCAGAGGUGAAAUUCUUGGAUUAACGGAAGAUGAACUACUGCGAAAGCAUCUGCCAAGGAUGUUUUCAUUGAUCAAGAACGAAAGUUAGGGGAUCGAAGAUGAUCAGAUAC